UUUUUUUCCCCCCCUUCCAGAGCGACGCGCGAGCGGAAAAUGUCUGGGCGCGAGCGGUUGCCAUGGUGAUUCGUACUCGACUCCGCUCGGUUGUGAGGGUGAGAUUGUUCUGCAGCUUUGUCCUGUUUCUCCAGAUACCUGUGAAAGGAUGAUUUAUGAAUUAUAAAGGGAAUUAUGUGUCCUUACAGUGGAAAGAUCUCACCAACUUGAUAUUUUAUGCCUCCUGAUACAAUAAAAUAUGUUGAAGUCCUAA